rnacentral:lncRNA from 1 species
AAGGACUCAGAAGGGAGAACCAGAGAGACCACAAGAUGAGAAGGACCCACCCCCCAGUCCCCCAUCCAAUGCUGCUGGCUUGGAGGAGGGGGACACAAGCCAGGAAUACAAGGCUCUUAUUAGAAGCUGGGAAGGGAAAGCUUCAGGGAAAUAGUUCUUUCCUGGGAUUCCCACCAGAUACACAGAAAGCUACUCUAGACUUUCCCAGGCAGAGGUAGUCAUGGUGGGAAGAUGCCAAAACAGCAGAGACAACAAAGGCACAAUUAGACAAACAGGAUUACUCCAGACUCAGAAAAUCAACAGUGAAGAAGCCUGAAAAAUGGAGUGUUUUAAAUAAAGUUUUUCUUCUGGCAAAGGAUAACUAUUCAGAGUAUAGAAGGAACUUAAAAACAUUAAUAAAAAGAAAUCCAGUUUAAAAAUGA